rnacentral:lncRNA from 1 species
GUCUGCUUGACAUUUGAAACACGUGUUACAAGUUUCGCAUUAAUGCAUGGCAUAUCAUAUUUGAAUCUUGUUUGAUGUGAAUAUCAUGCACCCAUUUGGCUAAUUGCAAUUGAAAUUUGUCAAGCAUGACAUUCUUAGUUCCAAGUCACUUUGCAAUGUUAAUGACUUGUGUGACUUCUUUGCAUUCUGAUUUAGGGUUAAAUGUUUACCCAA